GUUUGACCAGACUAUUCAGAUUCCACACUUACACCUUCACAGAGGUUUCUGAAAGUGCCCAAUGGUUCAUCUGAAGAGGCCAGUGGGGGCGAAUGGGAGAUUUAAAGACAGUGAAGAAUCUGAAAGCAGUGCCUUAAAGAAAAUCAGAAGGACUACUAAGGACCUGAGACUUUACGGCAGCACCAACCUCCCCAAUCAGGUCACGUCGCUCCAGUUGUGUUCAGGAGUCCCAGAACCAUCCUGGAGAAGACAGGUCAUUACAGGCCGCGAGCUUUGGGGUUUUUCCAGGUCAUUGGCAACCACUUCCCCGACUUUCUGAGACCAAGCAGCAGCAAGGGUAGACCAAGGAGCAUACACUGAAGAUGCAGACUGGAAGCAUUCAUCAAACUCAUCAUCCAGCUGAUCACUGGAGAACAUAGUGGAAGAGUUUACCAUCUGCACAGGCUCUAUCCCUGUUUAAGACACAGCC